GGGGGUGUAAAGGUUUCGACGGGGGUGUAGAACCAGAAUAAGCGAGCCGUAGUUGCCAAGUCUACGUAAAAAGUGGCACGUUAAAGAUAAACGGAAAAACUAACAACAAUUACGCAUUAGCAGCUUAGUCUGCCCGCGUCGUCAGCCCUGAUUCACCUGUAGGUCAGGAACCUGGCGUCGAUAUACAGGAAAACUUCGCGUGAACGCCCGGCAGCGCGAGGGACUUACGGGAUAGCCGAUUCCGCAGAUUGCCGGCGGACUGCGGAUGAAGCGAAACAAAGAUCACCGGCUGCGCUCGGAGAAAGUUCUGCGGAAAUGCUUUCGGACGCGGGUUCGAUUCCCGCCACCUUCACCA
rnacentral:tmRNA from 1 species